rnacentral:rRNA from 1 species
UACGUAGGAGGCGAGCGUUGUCCGGAUUUACUGGGCGUAAAGCGCGUGUAGGCGGUUCGAUUAGUCUGCUGUGAAAGCUCCCCGCUUAACGAGGAGAGGUCGGUGGAUACUGUCGGACUUGAGGACGGUAGAGGGGGGUGGAAUUCCCGGUGUAGUGGUGAAAUGCGUAGAGAUGUGGAGGAACACCAAUGGCGAAGGCAGCCUUCUGGGCCAACACUGACGCUCAUGCACGAAAGCGUGGGGAGCAAACAGG